ensembl:miRNA
UCCGGGCAUCAGCUCCCACUGCAGAGGCUGGGGAGCCGGACAGCUCCCUUCCCAGGCUCUGCAGUGGGAACCGAUGCCUGGA